rnacentral:rRNA from 1 species
AAGAAGUGUCCUCACGAUUGUAAACGCCUUUUAUUCGGGAAGAAGAGCAGGGAUGCGUCCUUGUGUGACGGUACCGAAUGAAUAAGCACCGGCUAACUCCGUGCCAGCAGCCGCGGUAAUACGGAGGGUGCGAGCGUUGUCCGGAUUUAUUGGGUUUAAAGGGUGCGUAGGUGGCUUUAUAAGUCAGUGGUGAAAUACAGCCGCUCAACGGUUGAGGUGCCAUUGAUACUGUAGAGCUUGAAAUAAUUGGAGGCUGCCGGAAUGGAUGGUGUAGCGGUGAAAUGCAUAGAUAUCAUCCAGAACACCGAUUGCGAAGGCAGGUGGCUACGAUUGAUUUGACACUGAGGCACGAAAGCAUGGGGAGCAAACAGGAUUAGAUACCCUGGUAGUCCAUGCCGUAAACGAUGAGGACUCGCUGUUGGUGCACCCGCAUCAGCGGCUUAGGGAAACCGUUAAGUCNUCCACCUGGAG